rnacentral:rRNA from 1 species
GACGAACGCUGGCGGCGUGCUUAACACAUGCAAGUCGAGCGGUAAGGCCCUUUCGGGGGUACGACGAGCGGCGAACGGGUGAGUAACACGUGGGUGACCUGCCCUCCAGCUCUGGGAUAAGCCUCGGGAAACCGGGGUCUAAUACUGGAUAUGACUCCAUGACGCAUGUUGUGGGGUGGAAAGCCUUGUGCGGCUGAGGAU